GACGAACGCUGGCGGCGUGCUUAACACAUGCAAGUCGAACGGGGUCCAGUCUGUAGCAAUACAGAGGAAGACCUAGUGGCGAACGGGUGAGAACACGUGAGGAAUCUGUCCCGAACUCUGGGAUAACAGUUGGAAACGACUGCUAAUACCGGAUGCCGUCAUUGGAUCGCAUGAUUCGAUGACGAAAGAAUUUCGGUUCGGGAGGAUCUCGCGGCCUAUCAGCUUGUUGGUGGGGUAAUGGCCUACCAAGGCAUCGACGGGUAGCUGGUCUGAGAGGAUGAUCAGCCACACUGGGACUGAGACACGGCCCAGACUCCUACGGGAGGCAGCAGUGGGGAAUCUUGCGCAAUGGGCGAAAGCCUGACGCAGCAACGCCGCGUGCGGGAAGAAGGCCUUCGGGUCGUAAACCGCUUUCAGCAGGAACGAAAAUGACGGUACCUGCAGAAGAAGGUGCGGCCAACUACGUGCCAGCAGCCGCAGUAA
rnacentral:rRNA from 1 species